GACAGAGGUGCCGAGCGUUAGGCGGAAUCACUGGGCUUAAAGCGUGUGUAGGCGGACCGUUAAGUACCUUGUGAAAUCCCCCGGCUCAACCGGGGAACCGCUGGGUAUACUGGCGGUCUUGAGGCACCCAGGGGCUGUCGGAACAAGCGGUGGAGCGGUGAAAUGCGUAGAUAUCGCUUGGAACGCCGGCGGUGAAAACGGACAGCUGGGGGUGUGGCUGACGC
rnacentral:rRNA from 1 species